AGAUGUGUAUGACUUUUAUUCUUCUGCAGAACACAAAGAUUUUUAGAAGAAUAUUUCAGCUGACCAGAACUUUGAUGGUCCAAAAGGGACAUAAAGGCAGUUUAAAAGUAAUCCAAACGACUUCAGUGUUUAAAUCCAUAUCUUCAGAAGUGAUAUGUUAGGUGAGGGUGAGAAAAAGUCCUUUUUUUUUUUUACUGAAAAUCUACACUUUCACAUCAGAAUGUGGACUUUCACUUUUACAUUCAGCCACGUACUGGUCGGAGCUGGUCAAAGGUGGAGACUGAUAGUAAAAAAAGGACUUAAAUAUUGAUCUGUUUCUCACCCACACCUAUCAUAUCAAGUCAUGGAUUUAACAACUGGAGUCAUAGGGAUUUUACGCUGUCUUUAUGUCCUUUUUGGACCUUCUGAGUUCACCAUUCACUUGCAUUGUAUGGACCUACAGAGCUGAAAUAUUCUUCUAAAAAUCUUAAUUUGUGUUCUGCUGAAGAAAGAAAGUCAUACACAUCUGGGAUGGCAUGAAGGUUUAAAAAUCAGAGGAUCGUCUUUGAAUAAGUCCAAAGCCUGAAUGACAUUCUCAAAGCUGUAUUUGAGGGACGUAUUUUUGCACAGCUGCAUCUAGAUUUAUCUUACCCUCCUCCCAGAGUCGAACGACGGCCGCUGUGGUCAGAGGUUUACUGAUGCUGGCGAUUCUCAUCACUGUGUCGGG